AUUGAACGCUGGCGGCAGGCCUAACACAUGCAAGUCGAACGGUAACAGGAGGAAGCUUGCUUGUUUGCUGACGAGUGGCGGACGGGUGAGUAAUGUCUGGGAAACUGCCUGAUGGAGGGGGAUAACUACUGGAAACGGUAGCUAAUACCGCAUAACGUCGCAAGACCAAAGAGGGGGACCUUCGGGCCUCUUGCCAUCGGAUGUGCCCAGAUGGGAUUAGCUAGUAGGUGGGGUAACGGCUCACCUAGGCGACGAUCCCUAGCUGGUCUGAGAGGAUGACCAGCCACACUGGAACUGAGACACGGUCCAGACUCCUACGGGAGGCAGCAGUGGGGAAUAUUGCACAAUGGGCGCAAGCCUGAUGCAGCCAUGCCGCGUGUAUGAAGAAGGCCUUCGGGUUGUAAAGUACUUUCAGCGGGGAGGAAGGGAGUAAAGUUAAUACCUUUGCUCAUUGACGUUACCCGCAGAAGAAGCACCGGCUAACUCCGUG
rnacentral:rRNA from 1 species